GCUGAAGUCCAAGACAGCCUCACAGCAAAGAGAGUCUCUGCACGGCUAUCAGAGAGGAGGAGAAAGCCUGGAGCCUGUAGACCGUGUCAGUGUUUCAAGGAUGAGCAGCACACUCAAGUGAAACGCCAGCGCUCUCCAAGUGCAGUCAUCCUUCCCCAGAAAAGGAGGAAAACCAAGGCCUCUACCUCAGAUGCAGACGACACGUUCACAAGACCAUCAGCCACCAUCCCUGAUGCUGAGCUGCCUCCGGUCUCAAAUACAGCCCACAAUCUUCGACCCUCUACUGUUGCACCUCGGCCAGACAGCCCUCUAAAGAUCCACAACCGCUCAGUAGAAGAAGUACCAGCAGGUGUACCAUGAAGUGGUCGAUGAUAUGCUGAGAGACGAGAACGGACAGCUCCGUCCAUACAGUUUGGAGCUGGGACGCUAUGGGAAAGACUGAACCGUCCCACAAUGAUUAUGUCUACUGAUGAAGACGGCCGCCUUCACGUGGACGUGACUUACGGAGUUGAAGAGUGUCCUCCUGAAUUUAAUGUGGAUACUACAAAAGAACCCGAGUGCUGAGCUGAACAGCUCAGAGAAACAGUGAAAGGAAUGAGAACAGUUACUGAGUCUGUGUAAAUAAGCUUUAAAUAAUCUGUAAAUAAAACUUUUAAAUAAAUUCAUUAGUGACAAAAUCAUCUGCAGGACUCAAAUUGCUGAGGCACCACCCCUCAGCUCCACCUUCACACUUUGCAUUCACCGUAAUUCUGUCUGCCCACUCGGAUAAACUCCUCUUGCUCCUACAGCCUCCAUCCUCUUCUAGAAGUUCUUGCAAAAAACUAAAAAAAACUAAAUGUAACCAGAGUAAAGCAAUCUCUCUCUCUUCUUAUCUCAGAAAGAGCUGUCAUAAAGCUUCUCACCUUUCAAUUCAUCUGUGCAUCCAGCCUUUACAUUACUCCCAAAAUGUUGCCACAGUUGGCUAUCACAGUCAAUGAAAACUGUGCUUAUGGUCAAUCUCAUAAAAAACUGUAGUUGUGUUCAUAUACAGGUGUGUCCCUCUACCCUUAACAAUGACUUAAGCUGGGAAAGCUGAGAGGUCAGCAGGCAUUUUCUGUUGAAAAGUUGAAAGUGAUGCAAAAAAUAAA